rnacentral:rRNA from 1 species
UACGAGUGCCCCAAGCGUUAUCCGGAAUCAUUGGGCGUAAAGGGCUCGUAGGCGGCCAACUAAGUCAGACGUGAAAUCCCUCGGCUUAACCGGGGAACUGCGUCUGAUACUGGAUGGCUUGAGAUUGGGAGAGGGAUGCGGAAUUCCCAGUGUAGAGGUGAAAUUCGUAGAUAUUGGGAAGAACACCGGUGGCGAAGGCGGCUAUCUGGACCGACAUUGACGCUGAGGCGCGAAAGCGUGGGGAGCAAACAGG